rnacentral:lncRNA from 1 species
AACUACCUACCACAACCAUACUUCAUAUAACAUCUUUUACUAUAUUUACAUUGAGUUUGAUCGAGCUGUGUAGACCCUUAGGAGCUUUUCAUGUGGUUAAAUUAAGAUAUUCACUUGCACACAUCUACUACACCAUCCAUCACCAUUCAUUAAAAUUGCUAAAAAUAUUAUCACUCACUGUCCCAAAUAUUGUUAAUCUCUCUCUCUAAAAAGAUUCAAUGCAGAAGAGGCAUGGGUUAUGCAAAAAUAUGCGAGGAAAUAAAAAGGGGCAAGUGCCCGGAACCUCGAAAAAGAAAGAAAAAGAGUGAGACGAGAGGUAAAAAUGGACAAGUGUCCGAAGUAGAAUUAGGGGUACAAAGAUGCCCACUAGAGCGGAAAAAAUGGACAAGUGUCCGACAGUACAAUUAGGGGUAUCUACUACCCACCUGAAAAAAAAAGAGAGAUAGCCCAUGUUCUCCCAAAGCAAACAUCAGAGAAGAGGAGAGAUAGCAAUAUGAGGAGCAAUGAGAAGUAAGUUUCAUUAUGACUUAUACAUUUUCACCAUCACUAUCAUUUACUCCCCCACACAUGCACAUCUUGAUUUAAUUAUAUGCUGAGUUCUUUUGGAUCCAUAGCUCGAUUAGACAACACAUGUACGACCUGUUUUUCACUCCUAUGAGCUCCACUUAAAUAUUCCAUUAGCUAUAGGUAAGUGACAUUAUGGUAAGGAUCCACAAAUACCACAUAUAGAGAGACUUGAGAGAAUCAUUGUUGGGAACUCUGAGUUUUAUUUUGAAAACUUAUGAAAAACUCUAGAACAAAGGUGAAGUAUAGACAGGAGGAAUAGUGCUUGACUUAAUUAUUUUGUCUUUUGAUUACUUAAGACUUAAGUGCAGGUACUAAACUCUAUAACACUUCACUCUAAUCUGGAAGAAUUUUAUGCAAAAGCAUGUGUGCCAGUCAGGAAAGAAAACAUCGAAGCAACUUCUGAUUCGUCUAAGUUUAGCUAUUUGCUCAGGGACGAGCAAAGGGUAAGCUUGGGGAGUUUGUUGACGGUCCUUAAGUACUAAAAUUAAUAAUCAAAUAAACAUGAAAAAGGAUCAAUAUGAAACAAACAUCUAGAAUUAGGGUUUUAUCUGACAGAAUUCCACGAGCUUUGGUGUUUAUCUAUUUCUGCAGGGGGUUAUCAGAGAAUAUGGAGAGAAGGCCCACAUGUCAUGUUUACAACGAGAUAAUUACAUGCCGCGCAAUUUUCCUCAAUCUAGAAGGGUCC